UUGAAGAAAACCCUGUUAAAA
rnacentral:piRNA from 1 species